AACAGCAUAAUACACCUACAGAGGGGCGACGAAAAUAAUUGCCAAGUCGUCGAGGGAAAGAAUCUGACCGUUAUUCUAUCAUGUUAGCUGAUAUUUUAUUCUACGUGGUUUACCUCUAGCAAAAUGGCAACCGAGUGUCCAUUUCCUGGUAUAACGUGUCCGUUGUCAUCGUAAAUUGACGUGUAACACGUGGUUGGGUCGUGUGUUCCACACUUCCGGUAUAAUACGAUCUCGCCUUCUCAUCCGUGUGGCAAACGAAACUUUUUAAGACAACAAUAGCAUUUUAUAAUAUGAUUAAAACGCACGUAUUGCGAACGAGACCGGAUCGUUUUCGUAAGUGUAAUAUCGUGACGGUAUAGUCGAGUCAAGCAUCACGUUCGAUAUAAAGACUCGAGUUUUAUAGUUUUCGACUGACGGCCAAGACUGGACAUACAACACAAUAAUUUACAACAACUUCCGCACGGACACCAUGUCGUUAU